AAAUUUUCUAAGGGGCGCAUGGGUGGAUGCCUUGGCAACAGGAGCCGAAGAAGGACGUGGGAAUCUGCGAUAAGCCUGGUGGAGUCGAUAACCGGACGUUGAGACCAGGAUUUCCGAAUGGGGAAACCCCGCACGACGUGUCGUGUGACCCCCGGUUGAACACAUAGACCGGGUGGAGGGAACGUGGGGAAGUGAAACAUCUCAGUACCCACAGGAAGAGAAARCAAAAGUGAUUCCGUUAGUAGUGGCGAGCGAACGCGGAUGGGGCU
rnacentral:rRNA from 1 species